rnacentral:rRNA from 1 species
UGAUAGAAAUUUAAACACUUUUUAAAGUAUCAAUUGGAGGGCAAGUCUGGUGCCAGCAGCCGCGGUAAUUCCAGCUCCAAUAGCGUAUAUUAAAAUUGUUGCAGUUAAAAAGCUCGUAGUUGAAUUUCUGUUAAAAAUAACCGGUCUGCUUUUUUUAUUAAAAGUUGUAUCAUUUUGGUGUGUUUUUAACAAUAAUAAUGUCCUUUGAAAAUGUUUUUCACUUUAUUGUAAUAAGUCAUUGUUUUGAGGAUUUUUACUUUGAGAAAAUUAGAGUGUUUUUAGCAGGCUUUUACGCUUUUGAAUACUGCAGCAUGGAAUAAUAAGAUAGGAUUUUAGUUCUACAUUAUUGGUUUUAAGAACUAAAUUAAUGAUUGAUAGGGAUAGUUGGGGGCAUUUGUAUUUAACUGUCAGAGGUGAAAUUCUUAGAUUUGUUAAAGACAAACUACUGCGAAAGCAUUUGCCAAAGAUGUUUUCAUUAAUCAAGAACGAAAGUUAGGGGAUCGAAG